AGGCCCAAGAGUCUCGCCUUUUCUCUGCAGUUUUUACAGUUUGUGUUUGACACUUUGAAGGUUAGGUCUGAAUAACAGCUGUGGUUUGCCAGUUAACUAACUUUUGAAUCUAUUACAUAGCGACCAGACCAACCCACCCAAACCCAACUCCCCUUCCUCUUCCCUUUCCUAUUUUCUUUGUUCUUUUCCCCGCCAAGGAAAAAUCCCAUGAUUUGAACCUGUUCUUUUUUCUUCACAUCUACUCUCUCUUUCUCGCUUGAGUCAUAGUCAUGACAUUUUUGCCUUUUUUGGUUCGGUCUCUGGCGAGGCUGCUCACAGCACUGGUGUAUCAACCAGCAGCCUCCGUCACUACCUUACUUUACUACAGCGAUCUCCUCCCAAGAAAUCUCGACUUGGAGCGCCUGGUGCGGACUGAAUUCCUCGAUCGAGAAAACUAUUUGUUUCAUUUCCUCAUCAACAUCUUGAGGUGUUUCUGAUUGGGCCUCAACUUUUAUGCUAUCAUAACCAUUGAUGGAGUAGUGAGUUGAUGAUAUACGCGCUGAGAACAGGGCAGAUCAAGCUCAAAUUGUGUGGGUUGAGAAUCUUGAGAUAGUUUUCUUUUUAGCAAUGUACAUUUGAUUAACUAAUCUGUAAACUAUUUAUGAAGGAACCGUCACCGAAUUUACUUUAAUGUAAGUAUUGCUUGAUUUAAAAGGGGAAAAA